rnacentral:rRNA from 1 species
CACACUAUCAUUAACUGAAUCCAUAGGUUAAUGAGGCGAACCGGGGGAACUGAAACAUCUAAGUACCCCGAGGAAAAGAAAUCAACCGAGAUUCCCCCAGUAGCGGCGAGCGAACGGGGAGGAGCCCAGAGCCUGAAUCAGUGUGUGUGUUAGUGGAAGCGUCUGGAAAGGUGCGCGAUACAGGGUGACAGCCCCGUACACAAAAAUGCACAUGCUGUGAGCUCGAUGAGUAGGGCGGGACACGUGGUAUCCUGUCUGAAUAUGGGGGGACCAUCCUCCAAGGCUAAAUACUCCUGACU